rnacentral:rRNA from 1 species
GACGAACGCUGGCGGCGUGCCUAAUACAUGCAAGUCGAACGCAGUGGGGACGGUUGAGUAACACGUGGGUAACCUCCCAUCAGAGGGGAUAACACUUGGAAACAGGUGCUAAACCGAUACUGAUGGAUGAACCCGCGGUGCAUUAGCUAGUUGGUGAGGUAACGGCUCACCAAGGCCACGAUGCAUAGCCGGCGUGAGAGGAUGAUCGGCCACACUGGGACUGAGACACGGCCCAGACUCCUACGGGAGGCAGCAGUAGGGAAUCUUGGGCAAUGGAGGAAAGCCUGACCGAGCAAGGCCGCGUGAGUGAAGAAGGUUUUCGGGUCGUAAAGCACUGUUGUUAGAGAAGCGGUAUCUGAACAGAAAGCCACGGCUAACUACGUGCCAGCAGCCGCGGUAAUUC